AUUGAACGCUGGCAGUAGGCUUAACACAUGCAAGUCGAGCGGUAACAGAGAUAGCUUGCUAUCUGCUGACGAGCGGCGGACGGGUGAGUAACGCGUAGGAAACUGCCUAGUAGAGGGGGAUAGCCCAGAGAAAUUUGGAUUAAUACCGCAUACGCCCUACGGGGGAAAGGGGGAAAGGGGGCUUCGGCUCUCGCUAUUAGAUGUGCCUGCGUAAGAUUAGCUAGUUGGUGAGGUAAUGGCUCACCAAGGCGACGAUCUUUAGCUGGUCUGAGAGGAUGAUCAGCCACACUGGAACUGAGACACGGUCCAGACUCCUACGGGAGGCAGCAGUGGGGAAUAUUGCACAAUGGGCGCAAGCCUGAUGCAGCCAUACCGCGUGUGUGAAGAAGGCUUUCGGGUUGUAAAGCACUUUCAGUGGGGAGGAAGGCGUUGUCAUUAAUACCGGCAACGAUUGACGUUACCCGCAGAAGAAGCACCGGCUAACUCCGUGCCAGCAGCCGCGGUAAUACGGAGGGUGCAAGCGUUAAUCGGAAUUACUGGGCGUAAAGCGCGCGUAGGCGGCUUGUUAAGCCAGAUGUGAAAGCCCCGGGCUCAACCUGGGAACUGCAUUUGGAACUGGCAAGCUAGAGUACAGUAGAGGGUGGUGGAAUUUCAGGUGUAGCGGUGAAAUGCGUAGAGAUCUGAAGGAAUACCAGUGGCGAAGGCGGCCCCCUGGAUUGAUACUGACACUGAGGUGCGAAAAGCGGGGGAGCAAACAGGAUUAGAUACCCUGGUAGUCCACGCCGUAAACGAUGUCAACUAGCCGUUGGAAGACUUGAUCUUUUAGUGGCGCAGCUAACGCAAUAAGUAGACCGCCUGGGGAGUACGGUCGCAAGAUUAAAACUCAAAUGAAUUGACGGGGGCCCGCACAAGCGGUGGAGCAUGUGGUUUAAUUCGAUGCAACGCGAAGAACCUUACCAGGUCUUGACAUCCUGCGAACUUACUAGAGAUAGUUUGGUGCCUUCGGGAACGCAGUGACAGGUGCUGCAUGGCUGUCGUCAGCUCGUGUUGUGAAAUGUUGGGUUAAGUCCCGUAACGAGCGCAACCCUUGUCCUUAUUUGCCAGCACGUAAUGGUGGGAAUCUAAGGAGACUGCCGGUGACAAACCGGAGGAAGGUGGGGACGACGUCAAGUCAUCAUGGCCCUUACGAGUAGGGCUACACACGUGCUACAAUGGCCGGUACAGAGGGCUGCAAAGCGGCGACGUGGAGCUAAUCUCAGAAAACCGGUCGUAGUCCGGAUCGGAGUCUGCAACUCGACUCCGUGAAGUCGGAAUCGCUAGUAAUCGCGAAUCAGAAUGUCGCGGUGAAUACGUUCCCGGGCCUUGUACACACCGCCCGUCACACCAUGGGAGUGGGUUGCACCAGAAGUAGCUAGACUAACCUUCGGGGGGUCGGUUACCACGGUGUGAUUCAUGACUGGGGUGAAG
rnacentral:rRNA from 1 species